AUGAUGGAAACAGCCACCAUGUUGUGAGGACACUCAAUUAGCCUUGUGGAGAGACCCACAUGGGUGAGAAACUAAGGGCUGCCACCAACAGCCCACAUCCACUUGCCAGCUCUGAGAGCAAAUAGAUCCUGCAGGCCUAGUCAAGCCUCAUUUGACUGACGCCUCAGUCAACAUCUUGACUGCAAGCCCAUGCAAAACACUGAGCCAGAAACCACCCACCCAAGAAGCUGUGAAUUCCUGACUGGCAAAAAAUGCUGAGCAGAAAACCAGGAAAUGGAUGGACUCCACCUCCGCAGCCACGCCUGCCCGUUUGCGCUUACUGAACAGAGGUCCUCAGGAACGUGGUGCUCCACUGGAGGCUGCAGGUGGAUUAUCUUGUUUAAUCCUCACAACUUCCUAAUGAGAGCCCCUCUUCUUGGGCCUGCGAUUCCUCACCUGGAAGGGAGAAGAGUGGACUUCCUGCCUAGAGAACACCUUGGUAAACUCUUUGUGGUUCCUGUCAUGAGAAGGUGUGCAGCUUAGGGAAAAAGCCUGUGAGCUCUGGAAUCAGAUGGAACUGGAUA
rnacentral:lncRNA from 1 species